rnacentral:rRNA from 1 species
UACGAAGGGGGCUAGCGUUGUUCGGAAUUACUGGGCGUAAAGCGCGCGCAGGCGGUUUUUCAAGUCAGUGGUGAAAGCCCGGAGCUCAACUCCGGAAAUGCCAUUGAAACUGCAAAACUUGAGGACGAGAGAGGUGAGUGGAAUUCCCAGUGUAGAGGUGAAAUUCGUAGACAUUGGGAAGAACACCGGUGGCGAAGGCGGCUCACUGGCUCGUUUCUGACGCUCAGGCGCGAUAGCGUGGGGAUCAAACAGG